CCUACGGGUGGCAGCAGUGAGGAAUAUUGGUCAAUGGCCGUAAGGCUGAACCAGCCAAGUCGCGUGAAGGAAGAAGGAUCGAUGGUUUGUAAACUUCGUUUAUAGGGGAAUAAAGGUAACCACGUGUGGAUAUUUGCAUGUACCCUAUGAAUAAGCAUAGGCUAACUCCGUGCCAGCAGCCGCGGUAAUACGGAGGAGGCGAGCGUUAUCCGGAUUUAUUGGGUUUUAAGGGGGCGUAGGUUGUUUUUUAAGUCAGCGGUGAAAGUUUGUGGCUUCACCCUAAAAUUGCCGUUGAAACUGGCAGACUUGAGUGUGUUUGAGGUAGGCGGAAUGCGUGGUGUCGCGG
rnacentral:rRNA from 1 species